AAAAGGGGAAAAAAAGGGGAAACUUCUAAAAUAUAGGAAAAAAAUGUCUUCUAAAAUUAGAGGAUGCAACCACCUCUAAUUGAAAGAUGAACCUUUCAUUUAACGGAAAAGACUAAAUUUGCAUUACGUUAUUUAUGGUUCACGAGAUAUUUGACCAAGAAAAAGACACACAGAUUGACUUUUAGUUGAUUGUGUGCUGACUAGCAGACGACGUUAAUUUGCAACAGCCAGUCUGCUUGUGGAAUGUGGCAUGGCCUACUGCGGGUAUUUAAAUUUGAUCGUUUGAAUGUUUGUGAUUGAUUUCAUCUUGUGAAGCACUGUGUUUAUAUUUCAAAUUUUAACUAUUGCAACAUUAUAAUAAGGAAAGAAAAACAUGCCUCUUGUGUCACAACUGAUGGUUCCUUUACCUAUCAAAUCUGUACCAGAUUGGCAGAUGGUUCACAUGUAGGUGCUGAAUCAACUGGAAAACGUUCAAAAGAAGGGAAUUGAGAAUUACAUUUAUCAUCAGACAUACCUCCAUUUCAGAAAACUUUAUCGUAAAGAUUCUGACAAGUUGGAAAUUGAUUUACUGUUUACAUGUCACCUUAAGUGAUAUCAUUGCAUACCAGACUUUAUUCGGAUGCAAAACAAAUUUCCCUCAUUUAAAAGGCAUGCAUGAUUUAAUGGUUGAAAUUUUGUAACGAAGAAAAAUGAAAGCUGCAGCUGUGGAAAAUAGAAUUGACAGAUUACAUUCAUCAUCAGACGCAUUUCAGUUUCAGAAAGUUUUGUCUUGAAGAUGACAACAGUUGCCAGUCGAUUUACAUGUCACCUUAAGUGAUGUCAUAGCAGGAGCUUGU